AUUGAACGCUGGCGGCAGGCUUAACACAUGCAAGUCGAGCGGGGGGAGGUAGCUUGCUACCGGACCUAGCGGCGGACGGGUGAGUAAUGCUUAGGAAUCUGCCUAUUAGUGGGGGACAACAUCUCGAAAGGGAUGCUAAUACCACAUACGUCCUACGGGAGAAAGCAGGGGAUCUUCGGACCUUGCGCUAACAGAUGAGCCUAAGUCGGAUUAGCUAGUUGGUGGGGUAAAGGCCUACCAAGGCGACGAUCUGUAGCGGGUCUGAGAGGAUGAUCCGCCACACUGGGACUGAGACACGGCCCAGACUCCUACGGGAGGCAGCAGUGGGGAAUAUUGGACAAUGGGGGGAACCCUGAUCCAGCCAUGCCGCGUGUGUGAAGAAGGCCUUAUGGUUGUAAAGCACUUUAAGCGAGGAGGAGGCUACUUUAGUUAAUACCUAGAGAUAGUGGACGUUACUCGCAGAAUAAGCACCGGCUAACUCUGUGCCAGCCGCCGCCGUAA
rnacentral:rRNA from 1 species